rnacentral:rRNA from 1 species
UACGAAGGGUGCAAGCGUUACUCGGAAUUACUGGGCGUAAAGCGUGCGUAGGUGGUUCGUUAAGUCUGCCGUGAAAGCCCCGGGCUCAACCUGGGAAUGGCGGUGGAUACUGGCGGACUAGAGGGCGGUAGAGGGUGGUGGAAUUCCCGGUGUAGCAGUGAAAUGCGUAGAGAUCGGGAGGAACAUCGGUGGCGAAGGCGGCCACCUGGACCAGCACUGACACUGAGGCACGAAAGCGUGGGGAGCAAACAGG